UAUGUCCACACCAUGUUCAAACACUGGUUCCUGUACUAUCACUGAAGUUAAGCAAAGUCAAGCUUGGUCAGUACCUAGAUGGGUGACCACUUGGCAGUAACAGGUGUUGUAA